rnacentral:rRNA from 1 species
GAAAAUUUUCAACGAUGGAUAUCUCGGCUCCCACGACGAUGAAGAACGCAGCGAAAUGCGAUACGCAAUGCGAAUUGCAGAAUCCCGCGAGUCAUCAGAUCUUUGAACGCAAAUGGCGCCAGUAUCACUGCUGGCAUGUUUGCUUCAGUGU